rnacentral:rRNA from 1 species
UACGUAGGGGCCGAGCGUUUGUCCGGAGUUAUUGGGCGUAAAGCGCGCGCAGGCGGCCUCGCGCGCCCGACGUGAAAGCCCCCGGCUUAACCGGGGAGGGUCGUUGGGGACGGCGGGGCUUGAGGGCGGGAGAGGUCGGUGGAAUUCCCGGUGUAGUGGUGAAAUGCGCAGAUAUCAGGAGGAACACCGAUGGCGAAGGCAGGUCUCUGGGCCGAUACUGACGCUGAGGAGCGAAAGCGUGGGGAGCAAACAGG